rnacentral:rRNA from 1 species
AUUGAACGCUGGCGGCAGGCUUAACACAUGCAAGUCGAGCGGGGGGAGGUAGCUUGCUACCGGACCUAGCGGCGGACGGGUGAGUAAUGCUUAGGAAUCUGCCUAUUAGUGGGGGACAACAUCUCGAAAGGGAUGCUAAUACCGCAUACGUCCUACGGGAGAAAGCAGGGGAUCUACGGACCUUGCGCUAAUAGAUGAGCCUAAGUCGGAUUAGCUAGUUGGUGGGGUAAAGGCCUACCAAGGCGACGAUCUGUAGCGGGUCUGAGAGGAUGAUCCGCCACACUGGGACUGAGACACGGCCCAGACUCCUACGGGAGGCAGCAGUGGGGAAUAUUGGACAAUGGGGGGAACCCUGAUCCAGCCAUGCCGCGUGUGUGAAGAAGGCCCUAUGGUUGUAAAGCACUUUAAGCGAGGAGGAGGCUACUUUAGUUAAUACCUAGAGAUAGUGGACGUUACUCGCAGAAUAAGCACCGGCUAACUCUGUGCCAGCCGCCGCCGUAA